rnacentral:rRNA from 1 species
GAGUAAUGCGUGACCAACCUGCCCCAUGCUCCAGAAUAGCUCUUGGAAACGGGUGGUAAUGCUGGAUGCUCCAACUUGACGCAUGUCUUGUUGGGAAAGUGUUUAGUGGCAUGGGAUGGGGUCGCGUCCUAUCAGCUUGUAGGCGGGGUAAUGGCCCACCUAGGCUUCGACGGGUAGCCGGCCUGAGAGGGCGAACGGCCACAUUGGGACUGAGAUACGGCCCAGACUCCUACGGGAGGCAGCAGAC